rnacentral:rRNA from 1 species
GAGGGGAGUGAAAAAGAACCUGAAACCGUGUACGUACAAGCAGUGGGAGCACCCUUUGGGGUGUGACUGCGUACCUUUUGUAUAAUGGGUCAGCGACUUAUAUUCUGUAGCAAGGUUAACCGAAUAGGGGAGCCGGAGGGAAACCGAGUCUUAAUUGGGCGUUAAGUUGCAGGGUAUAGACCCGAAACCCGGUGAUCUAGCCAUGGGCAGGUUGAAGGUUGGGUAACACUAACUGGAGGACCGAACCGACUAAUGUUGAAAAAUUAGCGGAUGACCUGUGGCUGGGGGUGAAAGGCCAAUCAAACCGGGAGAUAGCUGGUUCUCCCCGAAAGCUAUUUAGGUAGCGCCUCGUGAAUUCAUCUCCGGGGGUAGAGCACUGUUUCGGCUAGGGGGCCAUCCCGGCUUACCAACCCGAUGCAAACUGCGAAUACCGGAGAAUGUUAUCACGGGAGACACACGGCGGGUGCUAACGUCCGUCGUGAAGAGGGAAACAACCCAGACCGCCAGCUAAGGUCCCAAAGUCAUGGUUAAGUGGGAAACGAUGUGGGAAGGCCCAGACAGCCAGGAUGUUGGCUUAGAAGCAGCCAUCAUUUAAAGAAAGCGUAAUAGCUCACUGGUCGAGUCGGCCUGCGCGGAAGAUGUAACGGGGCUAAACCAUGCACCGAAGCUGCGGCAGCGAACGUAUCACCCAAGACAACUUUGCGGAGUUGACGAUUGACGGAGCGAAGCGACGUCAAAGCGUUCAUUAAAGUCGAGUUGGCUUAGGGAUACGUUCGUUGGGUAGGGGAGCGUUCUGUAAGCCUGUGAAGGUGUGUCGUGAGGCAUGCUGGAGGUAUCAGAAGUGCGAAUGCUGACAUAAGUAACGAUAAAGCGGGUGAAAAGCCCGCUCGCCGGAAGACCAAGGGUUCCUGUCCAACGUUAAUCGGGGCAGGGUGAGUCGACCCCUAAGGCGAGGCCGAAAGGCGUAGUCGAUGGGAAACGGGUUAAUAUUCCCGUACUUGGUGUUACUGCGAAGGGGGGACGGAGAAGGCUAUGUUGGCCGGGCGACGGUUGUCCCGGUUUAAGCGUGUAGGUGUGUGUUCCAGGUAAAUCCGGUUCACUUUAACACUGAGGCGUGACGACGAGGCACUACGGUGCUGAAGCAACAAAUGCCCUGCUUCCAGGAAAAGCCUCUAAGCAUCAGGUAACAUCAAAUCGUACCCCAAACCGACACAGGUGGUCAGGUAGAGAAUACCAAGGCGCUUGAGAGAACUCGGGUGAAGGAACUAGGCAAAAUGGUGCCGUAACUUCGGGAGAAGGCACGCUGACACGUAGGUGAAGUGAUUUACUCAUGGAGCUGAAGUCAGUCGAAGAUACCAGCUGGCUGCAACUGUUUAUUAAAAACACAGCACUGUGCAAACACGAAAGUGGACGUAUACGGUGUGACGCCUGCCCGGUGCCGGAAGGUUAAUUGAUGGGGUCAGCGCAAGCGAAGCUCCUGAUCGAAGCCCCGGUAAACGGCGGCCGUAACUAUAACGGUCCUAAGGUAGCGAAAUUCCUUGUCGGGUAAGUUCCGACCUGCACGAAUGGCGUAAUGAUGGCCAGGCUGUCUCCACCCGAGACUCAGUGAAAUUGAACUCGCUGUGAAGAUGCAGUGUACCCGCGGCAAGACGGAAAGACCCCGUGAACCUUUACUAUAGCUUGACACUGAACAUUGAGCCUUGAUGUGUAGGAUAGGUGGGAGGCUUU